rnacentral:rRNA from 1 species
AACGUAGGACACAAGCGUUAUCCGGAGUUACUGGGCGUAAAGGGCGUGUAGGCGGGAUUAUAAGUCUACUCUGAAAGCUCCUGGCUAAACUGGGAGAGGCGAGUGGAGACUGUAGUUCUAGAGUGAGGAAGAGGAAAGUGGAAUUCCGCGUGUAGUGGUGAAAUGCGUAGAGAUGCGGAGGAACACCGGUGGCGAAAGCGCUCUGCUGGACUGCAACUGACACUGAGGGACGAAAGCUAGGGGAGCGAAAGGG